GGAAAGAAGUCAGUGUCAAUAGCUGUAUCAAGGACCAAAACACACCAUUAAAUACACUCCCUCUUCCUCUAUGGCACAGUGAAAGCAAUUGACAUUAAUUCAUAUAUGGAUCCAUCCACACAUACACAAGAAUCACGACCUCACUUUUCUCUUCUCCAUACAGCCCUUUUAUUUUUCUCUAUUUAUAUAUCCAUCCAUCCAAUAACAAGAUCUAUCUUCAAUCUUCAUGCUUCAUUCAUUCAUCACAACUAUGUGUCUAUCUAUAUCUUAUGUUGCUUUGAGAGGUUGAAGCUGCCAGCAUGAUCUGGUCAUCUUGCAGCUUCAAUCACUCAAUUAUCAACAGAUAACUAACUUCCUCCAUUUCGAUCUGUUGAAUUUCAGGUAAAUAAAUCUCUAAUCCUUAUCCUACAGAUUUAUACAAGUUUUAUUUAUGAAAUAUUUUUGAAAUUUACAUGUGCAAAUACAUGUGCUUUAACUCUUGUCAUUAAUUAUAAAUUACUUUAUACCAGCUACACACAUUCACAAUCACAUGCACGUAUUUGUUUAUUACUAUUAAUAAUUAAUACAUAAUUUAUGUGUGUAUAUAUACAUAUAACAGAAGAAGAAAUAUAUAUGGACAUUAAUGCAAGACAAAGUAUAAAUCCAUUUUCUUUUCUUCUUUUUAAGUGGUACUGAUUAUUUGUCUCGUAAUCUCAACAACCUUUAUCUAACUUUUUUGGGAUGCAUUUAGCACGAGUACUGCACAGACAAAAUUUGAAACGGUUUCAUUUGUUACUUUCUUCCAUAGACAACUGUUUGUGGUGGUCCUAUCUGUUGUACUGUCGCAAUCUACUCAACUUGUCUUCUGCACUAUUUCAUUUUUUAUAACAAUAUCUUUGAAUUUUAAAUAAUUGGUUUCUAGUAGUUUGGUUUAUCUUAACCUAGGUUUUGGUUUGGUUUGGUUUGUUUCUACUGUCUUGAAGAAUUUAAUUGAUGAGAUGCUAGGGUCAGUUCAAUGUACGUUGAUGCUAAGUAACUAUUAUGUGAUUUGUGAACAUUUAUGAUCGAAGAGAGAUUUUAGAACCAACUCCAAAACAAGGUAUGGUUAUUAUUAUUUAUGAAAAGGGUCCCUCUUUUGUACUCACUUGGUUGCAGUCUCUGUCAACUAUAUGUGAAGCCUGUGAAGCAAGGACUUAGUUAGUAGCUAAUCCAGUCGCAGAUGUAAUAGGUAAAAUGUAUUUAUCUGGCUUUGUAAGUAUAGUUCAAAUAGAUUAAUAUUUUGAUAUGUUGUCAAGAAAAUUUGAACGACAUGUAUUGCAGUGUAAAUUAAUGUUAAAUUUUCAGAAACUAUAAAUAUAAAUUAAUGUCUUACUCUGA